rnacentral:snoRNA from 12 species
CUGGCCCCAAUCAAGACCAGCAGCUUGCAGUAGCUGCUGGUUUCAAAGGGAGCCCACAUGAAAUCCUUCCUGUGGUAUAUUGAUUUUUUUUUUUUUUUUUUUCCCAGUUACAAAGGGGCUAAUCGGUUCAGUUGGAAGGAACAAAG